rnacentral:rRNA from 1 species
AUGGAACGCUUCCGGUUCAGGUCACCUCCCCUCUCGCUCAAGCUGGCCUUCGCCGCCGUCUCCCUCUCCCUCGGCGUCUCCUUCGCCGCCGUCUCCUGCUCCUCCUCCUCCUCUCCCCUCCCCUCCUCGGCCGCCUCCUCCUCCCCGCGGCCGUCUCCGCGGACCGUAGCCGCCGACCUCCUCGCCGUCCUCGCCGGCCCGCGCGCCGCGGCGCGGGUGCCGGCCCGGGAGGCCUCGCGCCUGAGCUCCUGCCUCCGGUUCCUCUCCCCGGCCAACCCCGCCGCCGUGUCUAGCGCGUAUCCCUGGAAGGGCUCCCGGAAGGUUUUGCUGGAAGACUGCGAUGCGGCCGAGGCGGAUGCGAUGGUGAUGUGGCCGCCGGCGCCGGUCUUGGAGCUGGCGCGCCUCGCCGUCGACUCCGGUGGCGACCCUGGGGCCAUCCACCGCUUGCUCGACCCCACCAUGCUGCCGGUGCCUGAUGUUGAGGGAACGAAGAAGAGCAAAUGCCACCUCACAAGAACACCGUAUGGAAGACACUUUGCUGACGAGGAAAUCAAUUCAUACUUUGCAUUUCUGUUUGAAUUGAUUGCUGCACGAGGACCAUCGGUUGGAUUAAAUGUAUCACUGACUCGGUAUGAUUUAUUCCAUGGGCAUCUCUUCCUGGCAUCAGGGACAGGAAGGCUUGGGAUUCUGUUUCAUGCCAAAGAAUAUCCAGCAUUUGAUAAGGAAUCGUUCCCUUACAAUUUGGGAUAUUGCCAGACUGAAUCUGAUGUACCAUAUGACGACUCUAUGAAUCUACGUAAUAUCCUUUGGUUAGCUCCAUUGCCAUCCAGUGAGACGAAAGCUUGGUUGGCACCAGGAGUGUUAGUCGUCUUGGAUGCACAUCCAGAUGGAAUUAUAUAUCAAGACAUGAUACGCGACUAUGUUCAGAUUGUACGGACAAUAUAUGAAGAUGAUUUUGGAAAGCAUGCUGUUGAUGUCAACUAUCUGAAUGUUGCCAACGCAGCAGCUCCAGCGGAUAGAAUUUUCAUUUGCUGA